UGCAAAAUCUAUGUUGUGGGUCGGAAUCUUCGUGUUGCUGUGGGUCACAUCUAUAAGCUGAAGCAAAAAGGCACUUGUGAACAAAAAUGGAGCUUUAGUGUUACAUGGCAUGUAGUAGAUCCACCAAAUAGUUUUUCUGACUUGACGCCCUCGAGCUCUCAGGUUCUGUUUGCUUAGCUUUUCAGUGAUAUUUGCAUGUUGUCCUGCAUGCUAUUGAAUAAAUCGUAACUAUACGUAUUUGUGAAAGCUGUAGAGUGCUAAUG
rnacentral:misc_RNA from 1 species